CUGAGCACCAGACUCCUACAGUUGAGAUCAUUGAUUCCAUCCCUCUUUGCCCGCAAACCCAGAGGUUACAAUGAGCUAGAUAAUUGGAAGGCAACAUAGUUCCGCCAGUUUCUCUUGUACACAGGGAAACUAGUGCUGAAAGGAGUGCUCAGAGAGGACCUCUAUCAACAUUUACUGACAUUCAGUGUAGCAAUUGGGUUUCUUCCAAAGACAACGAUGGACCCUCAGCAUCUCACUCCCGAGCUUCAGCUGCAGACUACUGCCAGACAGAAAUGUUGGAUGGCAUUCAUAAAUAUUAUCCAUCUCAGCCUGAUUUGCAUGUCUAAUCCUGGAGACUACCAGGCAAAUAAUGAGCACACUUGCCACCAGUCCAGUUUGGAGCUGCUUACGGGAAACGAGGGACAAUUGCCCUUAUUGACAUGAGUGUCUACAAUGUCAUCAAACGGGCUAUCAUGUGGUGCCAUGCUGGGCUGGAGGAGAAUGUGGUGGAGUCUUUAAUUUCAGAGGUCCUUAAACAUGCACCAGCCCACUGCCAGCAGCAGCAG
ensembl:lncRNA